rnacentral:rRNA from 1 species
UACGGAGGGUGCGAGCGUUGUCCGGAAUCACUGGGCGUAAAGGGCGCGUAGGCGGCCUGAUAAGUAGGGGGUGAAAUCUUGCGGCUUAACCGCAAGGCUGCCUUCUAAACUGUCGGGCUCGAGCACAGUAGAGGCAGGUGGAAUUCCCGGUGUAGCGGUGGAAUGCGUAGAGAUCGGGAAGAACAUCAGUGGCGAAGGCGGCUCACUGGCCCGAUACUGACGCUGAGGUGCGAAAGCGUGGGGAGCAAACAGG